UACGUAGGGUGCGAGCGUUAAUCGGAAUUACUGGGCGUAAAGCGUGCGCAGGCGGUUUUGUAAGCCAGAUGUGAAAUCCCCGGGCUUAACCUGGGAACUGCAUUUGGGACUGCAAGGCUUGAGUGCGGCAGAGGAGACUGGAAUUCCUGGUGUAGCAGUGAAAUGCGUAGAUAUCAGGAGGAAUACCGAUGGCGAAGGCAGGUCUCUGGGCCACUACUGACGCUGAGAAGCGAAAGCAUGGGGGAGCGAACAGG
rnacentral:rRNA from 1 species